GACGAACGCUGGCGGCGUGCUUAACACAUGCAAGUCGAACGCUGAAGCUCAGCUUUUGUUGGGUGGAUGAGUGGCGAACGGGUGAGUAACACGUGAGUAACCUGCCUCCUUCUUUGGGAUAACGCCCGGAAACGGGUGCUAAUACUGGAUAUUCACUGGUCUUCGCAUGGGGGUUGGUGGAAAGGGUUUUUCUGGUGGGGGAUGGGCUCGCGGCCUAUCAGCUUGUUGGUGGGGUGAUGGCCUACCAAGGCUUUGACGGGUAGCCGGCCUGAGAGGGUGACCGGUCACAUUGGGACUGAGAUACGGCCCAGACUCCUACGGGAGGCAGCAGUGGGGAAUAUUGCACAAUGGGCGCAAGCCUGAUGCAGCGACGCCGCGUGAGGGAUGGAGGCCUUCGGGUUGUGAACCGCUUUCGCUCAUGGUCAAGCCGCAACAAUGGUUGUGGUGAGGGUAGUGGGUAAAGAAGCGCCGGCUAACUACGUG
rnacentral:rRNA from 1 species